GAGUGGCGGACGGGUGAGUAACACGUAGGUAACCUGCCUAGAAGCGGGGGACAACAUUUGGAAACAGAUGCUAAUACCGCAUAACAGCGUUGUUCGCAUGAGCAACGCUUAAAAGAUGGCUUCUCGCUAUCACUUCUGGAUGGACCUGCGGUGCAUUAGCUUGUUGGUGGGGUAACGGCCUACCAAGGCGAUGAUGCAUAGCCGAGUUGAGAGACUGAUCGGCCACAAUGGGACUGAGACACGGCCCAUACUCCUACGGGAGGCAGCAGUAGGGAAUCUUCCACAAUGGGCGCAAGCCUGAUGGAGCAACACCGCGUGAGUGAAGAAGGGUUUCGGCUCGUAAAGCUCUGUUGUUAAAGAAGAACACGUAUGAGAGUAACUGUUCAUACGUUGACGGUAUUUAACCAGAAAGUCACGGCUAACUACGUGCCAGCAGCCGCGGUAAUACGUAGGUGGCAAGCGUUAUCCGGAUUUAUUGGGCGUAAAGAGAGUGCAGGCGGUUUUCUAAGUCUGAUGUGAAAGCCUUCGGCUUAACCGGAGAAGUGCAUCGGAAACUGGAUAACUUGAGUGCAGAAGAGGGUAGUGGAACUCCAUGUGUAGCGGUGGAAUGCGUAGAUAUAUG
rnacentral:rRNA from 1 species